CAAUAGCGUAUAUUAAAGUUGUUGCAGUUAGAACGCUCGUAGUCGGAUUUCGGGGCGGGCCGACCGGUCUGCCGAUGGGUACGCAAUGGUCGGCGCGUCCUUCCUUCCGGAGACCGUGCCUACUCUUAACUGAGCGGGGGCGGGAGACGGAUCGUUUACUUUGAAAAAAUCAGAGUGUUUCAAGCAGGCAGCUCGCUCUUGCAUGGAUUAGCAUGGGAUAAUGAAAUAGGACUUUGGUGCUAUUUUGUUGGUUUCGAACACCGAAGUAAUGAUUAAAAGGGACAGUCAGGGGCACUCGUAUUCCGCAGAGAGAGGUGAAAUUCUCAGACCCGCGGAAGACGAACCACUGCGAAAGCAUUUGCCAGGGAUGUUUUCACUGA
rnacentral:rRNA from 1 species